rnacentral:misc_RNA from 1 species
GUGAAUCAUCAAAUCUUUGAACGCAAAUUGCACUCCCUGGUAUUCCGGGGAGUAUGCCUGUUUGAGGGUCGUUAGUACAAAAAUCGAAGCGUCGCUCUUUUUUUUUAAGGUUGAUGGCGUCGGGAUUGAUCCGUCUUUUAAAUGUUAAUUCAUGUAAAAGUGGUUUGUAAUUCAUUUAUCCGGUACGAUUAAAUCGUAUUUAAGAUCAAAUUUGUUUAAG